rnacentral:RNase_P_RNA from 1 species
UCAGCCGGCCGGGCGGCCGCUCCGGUCCUGUCAGCGGGUUCGCCCGCUGGCGGGCCGGGGAGGAAAGUCCGGGCUCCAUGGAGAUGCGGUGCCGGAUAACGUCCGGCGGGGGCGACCCCAGGGACAGUGCCACAGAGAGCAAACCGCCGUGGAUCGGCGCGAGCCGAUCCACGGUAAGGGUGAAAGGGUGCGGUAAGAGCGCACCGCGGACGCGGCAACGCGGACGGCACGGCAAACCCCACCGGGAGCAAAACCGAAUAGGGGCGACGCGCACGGGUUCGCCCGUGCAGGCCCGAUCUCCAGGCCAGUCGCCCGGGUUGGUUGCUCGAGGCGGCCGGCAACGGCCGUCCCAGAGGAAUGGCCGCCACGUCCGGGGGGAUCCUUGCGGAUUCCUCCGGGCCCUACAGAACCCGGCUUACAGGCCGGCUGAUCCC